AACGAACGCUGGCGGCGUGCUUAACACAUGCAAGUCGAUCGGUAACAGGUGUAGCAAUACAUGCUGACGAGAGGCGGACGGGUGAGGAAUAUUUGGGAAUCUGCCCAUCAGCGGGGGACAACCCGGGGAAACCCGGGCUAAUACCGCAUACGCUCUACGGAGGAAAGCCGGGGACCGCAAGGCCUGGCACUGAUGGAUGAGCCCAAAUCGGAUUAGCUAGUUGGCGGGGUAACGGCCCACCAAGGCGACGAUCCGUAGCUGGUCUGAGAGGACGAUCAGCCACACCGGAACUGAGACACGGUCCGGACUCCUACGGGAGGCAGCAGUGGGGAAUAUUGGACAAUGGGGGAAACCCUGAUCCAGCGACGCCGCGUGGGUGAAGAAGGCCUGCGGGUUGUAAAGCCCUUUCGGUAGGGACGAAAGCUCUCGCUCUAACAAGGCAGGAGGUUGACUUAACCUACAUAAGAAGCACCGGCUAACUCUGUGCCAGCAGCCGCCGUAACAC
rnacentral:rRNA from 1 species